UUGGGAUGUCGGUCGCGUCCUCACACUCAGGAGCUCCGGGCAAGGUGCGCUGAGACGGUCGUAUCAUCUCGUCGGUACCUGGCUUUGGGUCCUCGCUCGCCAAGGACACGCGGGCACACGUACAGACGCACACGGUUGUCUUCGAUCAGUGCCAAAGGGAAGAGGCACGCGUGACGUCACGGCCUGGACUCUCCGCAAGGGCGUGAGUGAGGGAGUGCUCAACGUGACUCCAGCGAACGUUUGUGUGACUCAGUCGCGCUCUGAAGCUGGUCCGAGCCAGACCUGUGAUUCCGCGCUCCGUAUAACGCUGCCGAGGUUAGACCCUGACACGCGCACCCUACUCCUACGCAAAGAUUACGUGUGUUAAGUGAUGACAGCGGGCCAACGCACCGGGCGAGAAGGGUGACACAACCCUUAAAAAACUCAUCGUUGAAACCCUGUUGUUUGUAAGGGUAUUUGAGACAACACCAUGACAUGAGGGACAGACCGAUAUCUUGAAAGGUCCCCUCCCGCGCCUCCUUCAGGUAAGUGAAAAGUAGUAGUUGUGGUUGUAGUAGUGGUAGUAGUAGUAGUAGUAAGACUUCUGGUACUACUUCUACUAUUACUACAGAUAAUUUGUUGCGACACAUUUAUACCUAUUCGCAAUCCCAGCAGGCAACUUCCGUUAAGGACAAUUAUAACUCAUGUAACAUAUUCCUCGGCAUAUUAUUUUUUUUUUUCAUUCUGUUGAAGAUGUCAUUUACAUUUUUCGCAAAAUAACUAAUGCUUGAUACUCUGAGAGCCAAGCGACCC